rnacentral:rRNA from 1 species
AUACGUAGGGGGCGAGCGUUGUCCGGAUUUAUUGGGCGUAAAGGGUGCGUAGGCGGCCUUGUAAGUCAGAUGUGAAAUCUCACGGCUUAACCGUGGUAAGCAUUUGAAACUGUGAGGCUUGAGUACAGGAGAGGAGAGUGGAAUUCCUAGUGUAGCGGUGUAAUGCGUAGAUAUUAGGAGGAAUACCAGUGGCGAAGGCGCCUCUCUGGACUGUAACUGACGCUGAGGCACGAAAGCGUGGGGAGCAAACAGGAUUAGAUACCCUGGUAGUCCACGCCGUAAACGAUGAGUGCUAGGUGUCGGGGGUCAAACCUCGGUGCCGCAGUUAACACAUUAAGCACUCCGCCUGGGGAGUACGGUGGCAACACUGAAACUCAAAUGAAUUGGCGGGG